rnacentral:rRNA from 1 species
UCCGUAGGGGGCUAGCGUCGUCCGGAUUUAUUGGGCGUAAAGAGCGUGUAGGCGGCCAGGUAGGUCUGGUGUGAAAACUCGAGGCUUAACCUCGAGAUGUCAUCGGAAACCAUUUGGCUAGAGUCCGGAAGAGGAGAGUGGAAUUCCUGGUGUAGCGGUGAAAUGCGCAGAUGUCAGGAAGAACACCAAUGGCGAAAGCAGCUCUCUGGGACGGUACUGACGCUGAGACGCGAAAGCGUGGGGAGCGAACAGG